UACAGGGGGUGCAAACGUUGCUCGGAAUCAUUGGGCGUAAAGCGCACGUAGGCGGUCUGUUAUGUCGGAUGUGAAAGCCCUCGGCUCAACUGAGGAAGUGCAUCCGAAACUGGCAGGCUAGAGUACUAAAGAGGGUCGCGGAAUUCCCGGUGUAGAGGUGAAAUUCGUAGAUAUCAGGAGGAACACCGAUGGCGAAGGCAGAUCUCUGGGCCGUAACUGACGCUGAGGAGCGAAAGCAUGGGGAGCGAACAGG
rnacentral:rRNA from 1 species